GGCACGAUGGGCAUCGGCAAUGAAGGAGGCGUUCAGAGAUCCGGCGGCAAGAAAGGGGAAAAGUGGACUGAAAAUAAAAGUGUGCAGAGCUUCCGGGACCCAUGGGACAAUGACCAUCUAACAUUCGUGUCCCUGGAGUUCCCAGCCUUUGGCCAGGGAGAGACAGGACACCAAGGGGAACUGGAGAGGAAAUUCCACUCCUUCCAGAAGCUUUUCUGAAAGGCAAUCGUUUGUAUCCUGCCUGAACACAUUCUGCAAGGCCAAUCUUUGCACUUUUGCUGUUCAUGAAGCUGAGCCUGCUCUGCAUCCGCCCCUUUGUGACCGCUCUCCCUCGGGCCUGCCUCGCUCCUGCUUCCCUCCCGGUGCCUUCCCGGAGCACGCAUCUCAUCAGCACGCUAGCACAGGGGAAUUAAUUGUCCAACACAUCUGACUUCCCUGGGUGCACGUCCCAAGGCCAGAAAAAACCUUCAAGUGGAUAUUUUCAGGAGUCAGUGAGAAGGAAAAGUGAGCCUUCAAGAGAUUCAGCAACUUGCUGAAAGCGGAACUGGUGUUCAAACAGAGGUUCCCAUGUGUCUAAAGCUAAGUACCAAAUGACUCCCAUGUGGGGUUGAACAAGCUGCUAGAAAGGUGAAGAACCUGAAGAGAAGACAAGGCUAAAAAUGGUGCCUUCAGAGUGAAAUCUACAUUCGGCACCGGGAAGGGAUUGGAACAUGGCAUUGUUACUUAAACUUCCUUGAUGAUGAGACUCACCUGGGCAAUUGUUGGAAAUACCUGGUCCUUCUCAGGUCUGCUGAAUCCCUGUCUCCUCGCAGAGGAACCCAGAGGAGUCUGAUGAUCAGAGAAACAGAAAUGCUGGACGCUGGUCACAAUUCUGGCUUCCCAUUAGGACUACAUGGAGAGAGGCACCAGGCUGGCUUGGUGGGUAGAGCAUGCGACAACUCUUGAUCUCCAGGUGGUGAGUUCAGGCUCCAUGUUGGGAGUAGAGAUUACUUAAAAAUAAAAUCUUAAAAAAAAAAAAAUCAUAUUAAAAAAAAAAAAAGAAAGAAAAUCCUAUGAAGAGCUCUUUGUAAAUACUAAGCCUGGGCCCCACUCCUCAAUUAAAUUAUGAUCUGGGGCAAGAGUAGGGUAUAGGAGAGUGGCUUAUUAUGCUUAAAAAGUCCUCCCAGGUGAUUCCCAUGGGAAGUCAGCAUGAGGGUUCCUGGCUGGCUCAGUCGGAACAGUGUGGAACUCUCCAUCUUGGGGUGGUAUGUUCAAGCCUCAUGUUGGGUGUAGAGAUUACUUAAAUAGAUAAAACUUAAAAAAAAAAAAAGAGGAAGUCAGGGUUGCAAUCACAGAUACAUGGUUAGAGAUGAAAAUAGAUACUUCCCUUUCCUGGAUUCAUAAAGCUCAUCAAGGAACCUCUUUUACAGCAGUUUUUGCAUGCUACUUGAUUUGUAAAUAUUUGCAUAUCUGUUUUGACAAUGACAUUGCGUUGUAGCCUUGAAGGGCAGACACUUAUUAACUUUAUCACCCACAUACUUGGGACUGUGAUAUUGAAUAAACAUGUAUUUGCUCUCUGCAUGUAGAUAUUCAAAGGAUAUCCUUGGCAAUUCUGUUCAAGGACAAGAUAUAUAUAUAUAUAUAUAUAUAUAUAUAUAUAUAUAUAUAUAUAUC